CCUACGGGUGGCAGCAGUGAGGAAUAUUGGUCAAUGGACGGAAGUCUGAACCAGCCAUGCCGCGUGCAGGAAGACGGCUCUAUGAGUUGUAAACUGCUUUUGUACAAGGGUAAACCUUUACACGUGUAUUCAGCUGUAAGUACUAUACGAAUAAGGAUCGGCUAACUCCGUGCCAGCAGCCGCGGUAAUACGGAGGAUCCAAGCGUUAUCCGGAUUUAUUGGGUUUAAAGGGUGCGUAGGUGGAUUGAUAAGUUAGUUGUGAAAUUUUGGGGCUCAACCGGAAAACUGCAGUUGAAACUGUCAGUCUUGAGUAUAGAAGCGGUAGGCGGAAUGCGUGGUGUAGCGGUGAAAUGCUUAGAGAUCAUGCAGAACACCGAUUGCGAAGGCAGUUUAC
rnacentral:rRNA from 1 species